UAUAUACUCGCUUCGUCCGGAAAUACUUGUCGGAGAAAUGCAUAAAAAUGAAUGUAUCUAGAACUAAAAUACAUAUAGAUACAUCCAUUCCUUCGACAAUUAUUUAUGAACGGAGGGAGUACUAG
rfam:Triticum aestivum genome assembly, contig: Triticum_aestivum_CS42_TGACv1_scaffold_179754_2DS